GGUCCCUUAGCUCAGUUGGUUAGAGCGUGGUGCUAAUAUCAGGUAAUUUACUUGGCUUCUGGCCAAGGAAAUAAUCGAUAUAUAGUAACGCCAAGGUCGCAGGUUCGACCCCUGCAGGGACCA